AUUGCUAAUCGAUCCUUCUGCAAUACUUGCACUAGGUUAAAUGUCAAUCGUAUUGAUCAUUUAACCCUAGAAUGAUUCUUAAUCGUUGAUCAACCAUCUGAUCGGAUUGUGAAUUCUAGUGUGUGUGAUCUCAUAGGUUCGAACCUAAGUCGGUAGUACAGAAAUAAAUUUCUGUCCAAUCAAAGUGACUAUGUAGCAAUGGUACCC
rnacentral:lncRNA from 1 species